rnacentral:lncRNA from 1 species
GGACACGUUUCGUACUUUGCUGUGGCUUCAGUUUCCUGCGAAGCCCAGAAGCAGAGACGAUUUGGCUGAUUUUUUUUUCCACCUUUAAAAUGUAUUCUCUGUACGUUCCGAGUUAUGGUCUGAAGACGGUCGGUGUGACCUCCCCUCCCGGGGUGGGUAGGGUCAAAGCGUGAAGGCCAGGACGUGGCGGGGAGACGACGGACGUAACCAGAUCCAGGCGAAGAUCCUGUUUGUCUUCACCGAUACCGGUUUGGUCGGAGACGUUUUGAACAGAUGAUGCUUAUUCUCCCAUCGGGGUCUUGGGUUCGUUCCCAGGCCAGGGUCCACAGCGCCCGGCGGACACGGCCACACCUGGCGUGGAGGCGGACACGUUGGUUUCUCUGUCGAGCGUCUCAAGGCAGGACUUCAAACGUGAAAAAUGAAAGAAAGAAAACAAAAAACUCGCAAACACCUGUCAGGAUAAGAGCUCAUCCGUCCAAGUCGUGUGUGUCGGUGUGAGCGCUUUCGCGGACUUCGUGUCUUUGGUUCCCACUGUUCUGUCCGUCGUUCCGAGGGGUGAGCGCCGUUAGGAGGGCCUGGCCGACCUCUUCUGGGGGCUUCUCGGCCUUCGGAAUCCCGCUCCCCGUUCCUGAGCACCAUGCAGAGCUCCGUGCCCCCUUUCCGCCGGCCCGCCCGCCCGCUACGGCGCCCGGAGAUGUGCUGCGUGACCCGGGGCGUCGCCCGAGCUGUCCUGGGGCCGGAGGAGGUCAGCGGGAGCCAGAACCACGCGGGGGCUGGGGGGCGGCGAGUGCAGGGGGGAGCCGGGGCGGGGGACGCCCUAGCCAGGUGUAUAUAUCUAUACAUACGUGCAUAUAUAUAAAUACCUUGUACAUAUCUGAGUUUGAGUCAUUCAAACUAGGUGCAAAACGCUGACUUUGGAGUCUGGACCAAUGUCGCUCUUCCCCCGUCCCUGACCGCUUGCCGGUCAACGACGUCACCAACUCCUGGACCGACAGGACACACACACACGCACAGAAACCACAUAUCACGUUAGACGUUAUUUUCCUUUGUGUGCAGAGUCAACCCGGCCUUUGGGUGCCAGUUUGGAGCAUGUUCUCAACAAACAAACAAAAACGAGAAAGAAAAAAGAAAAACACAAACAAAAACAGCCCACCCCACUCCGUGAAAUCCUCCUGCGGGGAGGCUGCGUAGCCUCGUCCCCGGGUGUGUGCGGGAGCAUUCAGGUCUCCCGCCGGGUGUCGAGGGCCCCGUGGGCGGCGACAGCCUCCUGGAACCCCCGGAGCCGGGCGCGGGAAGGACCCCAGCUAACACCGUCAUGUGCUUCAGAGCUGUUUAAAACUGCUGCUUGUUUCACACAUCUUUUGCCUUUCUUCAGGCUAGCUGCAAUAAUUUUUUUCUUCUGUAAGAUAUUUUGUAAACAACCACACACACACACACACACACACACACACAGAAAAAGAAAAAAAAAACAAAACCACACUCAUUAAAGUGACAUGUGUGUGAAAAUAGAAAGAAAUGCUAGGAGCUCCUCUGCGUGACCAUACAGAACGUGAAGUUUAUUUAUUAAACCUUCCGCAGGAUAAAUAGUGACACCCCCUUAGGCCUGGAAUAGUGGUUACAAUAGAUAAUAUUUAUGGAGCAUUAAUGAUGUGUCGCCGACUAUUUAAGCUGCUUACCCGUAUUAACCUAUGAUUGAGGAUGCUCAGCGUGUAAAUAAAUCACUUCUCUGUUCAUUUUCUUGCAAAGCUACACAAUUCAGUGACCUAAUUGAAAAUAAAUGAAAACUUCUAGACCUGAAAUGAAAAUCUGACUCACAAUUCUAGCUUUGUGGCUUCAAUGACAUUGCGUGGAAGUCACUGCCUUCGAAAUGGUAUUUUGCUGUUCAAGUGGAGAGUUUCCAUUAUUCAUCAGUUGACCUUUUUAUUUCUUUGUGCACUAAUUAGUUGUACCAUUUAAUUAUGCAUAAAACUCUAAUUGAUGAUAGGAAGGGUGUCCAAAUGGCUCCGUCAAUCGGUAGGAACAAAUUGGGAUUACUGGGUGGCUUUGUUAGGUUUCACACCAAAGAGAGACGUGUAAUUACCCAUCCUGUGUGCCUUUUCCUCCUAAAAAAUGAUCAGGAUCUCAGAAUCAUCAAAGUAGUCAUGGAGUAAGAUUCAGAGCUCUGCUAGUCACCCAACCUCAUUAACCCCAAAUUAAGCACAUGUCAACCCUGUCCGUGUAGUCUGGCCGCAAGCUUCCCCGUCUUCAGACGCCCUCGCUGCAUUUUAGAAAAUGUGAGGUAGCCCAGUAGACUUUGUUUUGCUUCUUUUUUAAAUUAUUUUUUUUAUUUUUGUUUGUUUGUUUUUAAUUUUUGUUUUGUUUUGUUUUGCUUCUUUGAUCAACAUCCGCAGCCAGCGGUCCUACUGAAGCAGAAGUAGAUUGGAGCUUGAGGAAAUACAGGAGCUCCUUAUUGCCCUCAGGAUAUAAUCACAUUCCUUUCUUAUUGUUUUACUUUUAAUUCAGCUUUUAGUUUUAGUAGAAUUAUACUUGCGCAUAAGUUAGAGAUAACAUGCUGCGUGAGAUGCAGCCACCUCCCUGUACUUCUCCAUCCCCGCCCCCUCGCGACGACCACAUCCAAUUCUUUUCCUUACUUUUUUGUGUGUUUGCCUCUAUACUUGUGAGUAUUAAUUGCUAAUUACUGGGCUUUAUUCUGUGACAGUAUUUAUUGCAGUUUGCUAUGGAGGAUAGUGAUUUGCCCAGCUUCACUCCCGCCUUCCCCAGGACACCGUCCAUUUGUCCUUCCUCCCAUGUUUCCCGUGGUGAUCUGCCCAACCCCGACCCCUUCAUCGUUAGAACCCCAGAGGCCACGCACGGCCAGGCCGACUACCUCAAUGCCUCUCCCUCUCCCAGAGCAACUCCAUCCCUGUCAGUUCCUGCUCUCAGGCCCUCUCUGCCUCCUGCACGCUUAGCGUUCUACUGAGGCGACGUCACGGAAUGUCUUUCUGUUGGGCAUUCUGUCCAUUUCCUUCCAUACGAUGAGCAUAUCCUGGAGAUUUCUGACCUGGUCCAGUCUGGGCUGAUGCCUCCCCAGACUGCCCUGGCUCUCCCCUCUGUCCUGCUGAGGGCUACCUCUUCUCCUUCCCUCUCUUGGGUUCGGACGCCCCUCAAUCCAGGCCAUCUUUCUUUUUAGCCUAUUCACCUCUUCCAGUCGUGUGUCCCUCCCAUAUUACCUCAAGUAUGAGCAUUUAAGAGUUACAUUUCUGAGAAUUUGUUUGCCCCAAAUUGCCUUUACGGUUCCAUUAUUCUUCAUUGAUAGGUUUGUGAUCAGUUCCAAUUUCAAUGUACAUUUUUCUUUAACCCGUGAAGGUGUUAUUUGAUUUCCAUCUACCUCCCAGGGAUGCUAUUUAGAAUCUAAUGCUCUAUACUGAUUAAAGGCUCCACACGUCAAGAAGAUAGAACAAUUUUAAACAUAUACACACCAAUCAAAGAUCCUCAAAGUGCAUGAGGUAGGUAAAACUGACAGAAAUAGAGGGAUAGACACUUGCACCCUAUUGGUGGGCAACCUCUGUGCCCCCACUUUCACUGCUGGGAGACUGAUGGAACAGAACUCCAGUAACCACUGGAAGAAGAGUCCUGUACCACGGACCUGAAACACAUGUACCGAGACAGUGCAUGUAAGAACAGCUGCACACAUAUAUUUUUUUUUCUGAGUGCACAUAGAAUAUUCAUCAGGUAAACUAUAUGGCCCCCCAAACAAGUCUCAAUAAACUUAAAAAUAUUGAAGUCAUCCAAAGUAUCUUCUCCAACCUCAAUAGAAUAAACUAGAAGUUACACAUAUGACGUCCGUGUCUGUUUCUUCUAAUGAUGUUUGACUUAAAGUCUAUUUUAUGUGAUAUUAGUGGAGAUAGCCCUGCUCUACUUUUGGUUAUUAUUUCCGUGGCAUAUGUUUCUCACUCAUUUUACAUUCAAUCUAUUUGUGUUAUUCGACAUAAAGUGAAUUCUUACAAAAAAAAGUAUACAAUUGAGCCACUUUUAAAAUACAUUCUACCGGGAUCCCUGGGUGGCGCAGCGGUUUAGCGCCUGCCUUUGGCCCAGGGCGCGAUCCUGGAGACCCGGGAUCGAAUCCCACAUCAGGCUCUGGGUGCAUGGAGCCUGCUUCUCCCUCUGCCUGUGCCUCUGCCUCUCUCUCUCUCUCUCUGUGACUAUCAUAAAAAAAAAAAAAAAAUAAAUAAAUAAAUAAAAUACAUUCUACCAAACUCUGACUUAUUUGGAACAUUUAUUCCAUGUGAAAGAUAAUCUUAUGAGUUGAUUUAGCUAGGCGAUGGGACCCAGUGUUUGGUCAAACACUAAUCUAGAUGUUGCUAUGACAGUAUUUUGUAAGUGUGCCAAGGUACGAUUAAUUUUUUUUUUUAUCUUAUUUACUGAGACACCUGGGUGGCUCAGUCAGUUAGGCAUCAAACUCUUGAUCUCAGCUCAGGUCUUGAUCUCAGGGUCCUGAAUUCAAGCCUCACGUUGGACUCCAUGCUGGAGUGGAACCUACUUUAAAGGUUGAGUCUGUAGUCUUGUAUCUUUCAUCACUUUUAGAAAAUUUUCAGAGAUUUUCUUUUCUUUCUUUCUCUUGCUCUGUUCCUUUUUAUCUUUUAA